rnacentral:rRNA from 1 species
GAACGCUUGCCGCGUGCUAAUACAUGCAAGUCGAACGAACUCUGGUAUUGAUUGGUGCUUGCAUCAUGAUUUACAUUUGAGUGAGUGGCGAACUGGUGAGUAACACGUGGGAAACCUGCCCAGAAGCGGGGGAUAACACCUGGAAACAGAUGCUAAUACCGCAUAACAACUUGGACCGCAUGGUCCGAGUUUGAAAGAUGGCUUCGGCUAUCACUUUUGGAUGGUCCCGCGGCGUAUUAGCUAGAUGGUGGGGUAACGGCUCACCAUGGCAAUGAUACGUAGCCGACCUGAGAGGGUAAUCGGCCACAUUGGGACUGAGACACGGCCCAAACUCCUACGGGAGGCAGCAGUAGGGAAUCUUCCACAAUGGACGAAAGUCUGAUGGAGCAACGCCGCGUGAGUGAAGAAGGGUUUCGGCUCGUAAAACUCUGUUGUUAAAGAAGAACAUAUCUGAGAGUAACUGUUCAGGUAUUGACGGUAUUUAACCAGAAAGCCACGGCUAACUACGUGCCAGCAGCCGCGGUAAUACGUAGGUGGCAAGCGUUGUCCGGAUUUAUUGGGCGUAAAGCGAGCGCAGGCGGUUUUUUAAGUCUGAUGUGAAAGCCUUCGGCUCAACCGAAGAAGUGCAUCGGAAACUGGGAAACUUGAGUGCAGAAGAGGACAGUGGAACUCCAUGUGUAGCGGUGAAAUGCGUAGAUAUAUGGAAGAACACCAGUGGCGAAGGCGGCUGUCUGGUCUGUAACUGACGCUGAGGCUCGAAAGUAUGGGUAGCAAACAGGAUUAGAUACCCUGGUAGUCCAUACCGUAAACGAUGAAUGCUAAGUGUUGGAGGGUUUCCGCCCUUCAGUGCUGCAGCUAACGCAUUAAGCAUUCCGCCUGGGGAGUACGGCCGCAAGGCUGAAACUCAAAGGAAUUGACGGGGGCCCGCACAAGCGGUGGAGCAUGUGGUUUAAUUCGAAGCUACGCGAAGAACCUUACCAGGUCUUGACAUACUAUGCAAAUCUAAGAGAUUAGACGUUCCCUUCGGGGACAUGGAUACAGGUGGUGCAUGGUUGUCGUCAGCUCGUGUCGUGAGAUGUUGGGUUAAGUCCCGCAACGAGCGCAACCCUUAUUAUCAGUUGCCAGCAUUAAGUUGGGCACUCUGGUGAGACUGCCGGUGACAAACCGGAGGAAGGUGGGGAUGACGUCAAAUCAUCAUGCCCCUUAUGACCUGGGCUACACACGUGCUACAAUGGAUGGUACAACGAGUUGCGAACUCGCGAGAGUAAGCUAAUCUCUUAAAGCCAUUCUCAGUUCGGAUUGUAGGCUGCAACUCGCCUACAUGAAGUCGGAAUCGCUAGUAAUCGCGGAUCAGCAUGCCGCGGUGAAUACGUUCCCGGGCCUUGUACACACCGCCCGUCACACCAUGAGAGUUUGUAACACCCAAAGUCGGUGGGGUAACCUUUUAGGAACCAGCCGCCUAAGGUGGGACAGAUGAUUAGGGUGAAGUCGUAACAAGGAAACCCGUAC